rnacentral:rRNA from 1 species
UACGGAGGGUGCAAGCGUUGCUCGGAAUUAUUGGGCGUAAAGGGUAGGUAGGUGGUCUCGUUUGUCUAGGGUGAAAGCCUUGAGCUUAACUCAAGAAGUGCCCUAGAAACGGCGAGACUAGAGUUCUGGAGAGGGUCGUGGAAUUCCCGGUGUAGCGGUGAAAUGCGUAGAGAUCGGGAGGAACACCAGAGGCGAAGGCGGCGACCUGGACAGACACUGACACUCAACUGCGAAAGCGUGGGGAGCAAACAGG